UACAUGAAGCUGGAAUCGCUAGUAAUCGCGGAUCAGCAUGCCGCGGUGAAUACGUUCCCGGGCCUUGUACACACCGCCCGUCACACCACGAGAGUUUGUAACACCCGAAGUCGGUGAGGUAACCUUUUGGAGCCAGCCGCCUAAGGUGGGACAGAUGAUUGGGGUGAAGUCGUAACAAGGUAGCCGUAUCGGAAGGUGCGGCUGGAUCACCUCCUUUCUAAGGAA
rnacentral:rRNA from 2 species